AGAGUUUGAUCCUGGCUCAGAACGAACGCUGGCGGCGUGGAUAAGACAUGCAAGUCGAACGAGAGAAUUGCUAGCUUGCUAAUAAUUCUCUAGUGGCGCACGGGUGAGUAACACGUGAGUAACCUGCCCCCGAGAGCGGGAUAGCCCUGGGAAACUGGGAUUAAUACCGCAUAGUAUCGAAAGAUUAAAGCAGCAAUGCGCUUGGGGAUGGGCUCGCGGCCUAUUAGUUAGUUGGUGAGGUAACGGCUCACCAAGGCGAUGACGGGUAGCCGGUCUGAGAGGAUGUCCGGCCACACUGGAACUGAGACACGGUCCAGACACCUACGGGUGGCAGCAGUCGAGAAUCAUUCACAAUGGGGGAAACCCUGAUGGUGCGACGCCGCGUGGGGGAAUGAAGGUCUUCGGAUUGUAAACCCCUGUCAUGUGGGAGCAAAUUAAAAAGAUAGUACCACAAGAGGAAGAGACGGCUAACUCUGUGCCAGCAGCCGCGGUAAUACAGAGGUCUCAAGCGUUGUUCGGAAUCACUGGGCGUAAAGCGUGCGUAGGCUGUUUCGUAAGUCGUGUGUGAAAGGCGCGGGCUCAACCCGCGGACGGCACAUGAUACUGCGAGACUAGAGUAAUGGAGGGGGAACCGGAAUUCUCGGUGUAGCAGUGAAAUGCGUAGAUAUCGAGAGGAACACUCGUGGCGAAGGCGGGUUCCUGGACAUUAACUGACGCUGAGGCACGAAGGCCAGGGGAGCGAAAGGGAUUAGAUACCCCUGUAGUCCUGGCAGUAAACGGUGCACGCUUGGUGUGCGGGGAAUCGACCCCCUGCGUGCCGGAGCUAACGCGUUAAGCGUGCCGCCUGGGGAGUACGGUCGCAAGAUUAAAACUCAAAGAAAUUGACGGGGACCCGCACAAGCGGUGGAGUAUGUGGCUUAAUUCGAUGCAACGCGAAGAACCUUACCUGGGCUUGACAUGUAAUGAACAACAUGUGAAAGCAUGCGACUCUUCGGAGGCGUUACACAGGUGCUGCAUGGCCGUCGUCAGCUCGUGUCGUGAGAUGUUUGGUUAAGUCCAGCAACGAGCGCAACCCCUGUUGCCAGUUACCAGCACGUGAAGGUGGGGACUCUGGCGAGACUGCCCAGAUCAACUGGGAGGAAGGUGGGGACGACGUCAGGUCAGUAUGGCCCUUAUGCCCAGGGCUGCACACGUACUACAAUGCCCAGUACAGAGGGGGCCGAAGCCGCGAGGCGGAGGAAAUCCUGAAAACUGGGCCCAGUUCGGACUGUAGGCUGCAACCCGCCUACACGAAGCCGGAAUCGCUAGUAAUGGCGCAUCAGCUACGGCGCCGUGAAUACGUUCCCGGGUCUUGUACACACCGCCCGUCACAUCA
rnacentral:rRNA from 1 species